UACGAAGGGGGCUAGCGUUGCUCGGAAUCACUGGGCGUAAAGCGCACGUAGGCGGCUUGUUAAGUCAGGGGUGAAAUCCUGGAGCUCAACUCCAGAACUGCCUUUGAUACUGGCGAGCUUGAGUUCGGGAGAGGUGAGUGGAACUGCGAGUGUAGAGGUGAAAUUCGUAGAUAUUCGCAAGAACACCAGUGGCGAAGGCGGCUCACUGGCCCGAUACUGACGCUGAGGUGCGAAAGCGUGGGAGCAAACAGG
rnacentral:rRNA from 1 species